GAUGAAGAACGCAGCGAAAUGCGAUAAGUAAUGUGAAUUGCAGAAUUCAGUGAAUCAUCGAAUCUUUGAACGCACCUUGCGCUCUUUGGUAUUCCGAAGAGCAUGCCUGUUUGAGUGUCAUGAAAAUAUCAACCUUGACUUGGGUUUUGUGCUCUAGUCUCGGCUUGGAAUUGGGUGCUUGCCGCUUUUACGAGCGGCUCACCUUAAAUGUAUUAGCUGGAUCUGUCUUUGAGACUUGGUUUGACUUGGCGUAAUAAGUAUUUCGCUAAGGACAUUCUUCGGAGUGGCCUCGUUUCUAGGACGCUUGUCCGCUUUCCAAUACAAGUUCCACCUCGUGGACAUGACUUUUUAUUAUCUGGCCUCAAAUCAGGUAGGACUACCCGCUGAACUUAAGCAUAUCAAUAAGCGGGGA
rnacentral:misc_RNA from 1 species